UAUUGGAAUUUUCAAGAGUAGCCUGUUCACAUACUUUGUUGAGGUAGUUGCUUAAGCCUUGAAGAGACUCAACAUGUUUACACUCUUCCCCGGUCUCCUAACAGUUUUGCUCAUUCUAUACCCGAUGUUCAAAUUCAGUUUUAGUUGUCAAGAUUAUUGGAUGGAAUUUACUCAUGUUUCUAUUGACGUGAUACCCAAUUCACCCAUAACAAUGGUGUCAAAACAUUUGAAAAUGGCAUGUGCAAUUGCUUGUAAAGAUGAGGCCCAUUGUGUGGCGUUUGCCUUUCAUCAACAAAGAAGAGAAUGUCAUCUUUAUACAAGGAAUGUGGAAGAACUGGGAAGAGAUCCAGAUCCUGGCAUGACGGUUUUCUUGUUGAUGACUGAGGGAAGUAACUUGGCAAAUUUAAAAACACAAUCAACAAGCUCCGUUGGUGCAUUGCAACCCACUACAGCAGCUUUAGAUGGCGACCCAUCUACCUGUUUUCAAACAGAUAAAGACGAUUAUCAACCCUGGUUUCUUAUUGAUGUGGUGGACACGUUUCUAAUUCGUUUUAUAGUGGUUGACAACGAGGCUGGGUAUCCUGAAUGCCUCCAUGACGUUAAUUAUGAAGUCUAUGAUUCUGAUCCAACUAUAAACAACUCUUCAGAAGGUAAUUGUUGUGCUUCAGUGGCUGAUUACAAUACAGGUAAAAACAUCAUCAGGUGUAAUGAUGGAGUCAAAGGAAGAUUUGUGAAGAUUUCUAUUGAAAAAUCAAAUUUCUUAACUCUUUGUGAAGUGGAAAUAUAUGGCACCCCUUUGAAUGAGACGAGGGACACCUGUAAUCAAAGAUCUGAAUGUAAGAAAUUACCAGUGGUUGGUGAACGGUUCGCCGAUGUGAGUGUAAUGGUGUAUGAAGCGGAUCCAUCUGUCGGUAAUCCUCCAUCAACAAAGUGAACAUUUCUACCAGGAGUGUUUGGAUGUACAGUGAGAACAUUUGAGUGUGAUGAGAAAACAAUCGGCAGGUUCAUCAGGAUAACCAAACCAACAGAAUUUCUUAAUAUGUGUGAAGUCGAGGUGACGGGUAUAAAACAGUAAAUCUCUUAAAAACAGAGUUAAGUGAACGCUAAAGAGUUGCUGUUGAAAUGCUAUAUCAAUCGUAUAUAGAUCAUACAUAUUCACUUUAAUGAGAAUUAAAAUAUAGGGU